rnacentral:lncRNA from 1 species
AAGAAAUGCAAAAGAUUUAAUAGCAUUUGGGCUGAAGUUCUGAAACCAAAUCUCAUUUCUGUUCAAUGGUACUUUUUUCAGGGUUCCCUCAUAACUACAUAAAAUCCAGUUGCAACUCUAAUACAUGCUAAAUAACCAUUUUAAGUCAAAUUCUUAUUGCUCCUUGUCCUAGAGUGUAUAUCUUGAUUUCUUGUUUCUACUCCAUGUUGGGUUGUAUUCCUUUCAACAUGGCAGGGUUUCCUAUUUAUCUUAGAGUUUAUAGUGAGUUUGGCUAAUCCAAAAUAAUUCAGAAUUCCUAGAAUACAGAAUGUGUUUGAAGAAAAGGAUAGACAUCAUUCCUGGAGAAGUAAUGAGGCAAGAUUUUGACAAUUGUCAACGAUUUUCUCCUUACUUCUUAUCCAUAGAUUCUUU